GCCCCGUUAGCUCAGUUGGUAGAGCUGCUCCCUCUUAAGGAGAAGGUCGGGGGUUCAAAUCCCUCACGGGGCA
rfam:Parcubacteria bacterium GW2011_GWC2_42_6 TV36_C0043, whole genome shotgun sequence.